rnacentral:ncRNA from 18 species
UUCUUAUCCAGAGAGGUGGAGGGAACGGCCCGAAGAAACCUCAGCAACCAGCCACGAUCCUGUGGUCAGGUGCUAAUUCCUGCAAGCAUUAUUUGCUUGAGAGAUAAGAG